ACUUUGAAAAAAUUAGAGUGCUCAAAGCAGGCGCGACGCCUGAAUAAUGGUGCAUGGAAUAAUGGAAUAGGACCUCGGUUCUAUUUUGUUGGUUUUCGGAACACGAGGUAAUGAUUAAGAGGGACGGACGGGGGCAUUCGUAUUGCGACGCUAGAGGUGAAAUUCUUGGACCGCCGCACGACGAACUACUGCGAAAGCAUUUGCCAAGAAUGUUUCCAUUAAUCAAGAACGAAAGUUAGAGGCUCGAAGGCGAUCAGAUACCGCCCUAGUUCUAACCAUAAACGAUGCCAGCUAGCGAUCCGGCUGUGUUCCUCAAAUGACACGCCGGGCAGCUUCCGGGAAACCAAAGCUUUUGGGUUCCGGGGGGAGUAUGGUUGCAAAGCUUAAACUUAAAGGAAUUGACGGAAGCGCACACAAGGAUUGGGGCCUGCGGUUUAAUUUGACUCAACACGGUGCAACUCACUCGGCCCGGACACAGGAAGGAUUGACAGAUUAAGAGCUCUUUCUUGAUUCUGUGAUAGGUGGUGCAUGGCCGUUUCUGGUUGGUGGAGUGAUUUGUCUGCUUUAUUGCGAUAACGAGCGAGACUCUAACCUGCUAAAUAGACGUUACGAUCCUUGUGAGUCGUACGUUCUUCUUAGAGGGACAGGCGGUGUUCAGCCGCACGAAAAAGAGCAAAAACAGGUCAGGAUGCCCUCAGAUGUUCGGGGCCACACGCGCGCCACAUUGAAGGAAUCAGCGUGUGCUUUCCCUGUCCGACAGGACUGGGUAACCCGUUGAACCUCCUUCGUGAUGGGGAUAGGAAAUUGUAAUUAUUUUCCUUGAACGAGGAAUUCCCAGUAAGCAUGAGUCAUCAGCUCGUGUUGAUUACGUCCCUGCGCUUUGUCCACACCGCCCGUCGCUAUUAUCGAUGAAUUUUGGAGUAAGAUCUU
rnacentral:rRNA from 1 species